rnacentral:lncRNA from 1 species
GGGGAGAAUAAGUUUUGGGGGGGGGGAGGUUUUUUGGAUCGAGGAGCUAGCUUCAAGCUUUUUUUUUCAAGGUUACUAGUUCGGUGUCAUUGGAGGUUUUUGAAGAUCAAGGGGAUUAGAGAGGAGCUUCAUGCUUCGGGUCGGGGAAGAAAAGACGAAGAAUUGGAUUUUUCUUCUUCAUAGAGUUUUGGGAAGACUGAGGCAAUCGUUGCUGAAGUCAGUGUUGUAAUGGUGAAUCGGGAUUUUUUAAAUGAAGUGGGUUUGAUUACUCUUGAUUGUUUUGUAAAAUCGAGUUACAUCUCUGAUUGAAGAAUUAAAAGGGUGUCUAUAGGAUUGAGUAUGCGGAGUGAAUGAAAUUUAUUGGGUUAAUCUAACAAGACAGUCAGUGGAUACAAGAUCAUAAGUACAAAGCGGUAUCGGAGAUUAGCAGAUUGGAUUGUUCGGGGUUCUUUGUAACGUCUAGAGAUCUACCGGUUGGGGCAAAAAAGACUUCGACAAGCAGUCAAAGGACACCCGUAUAGAUUUACGGUAUAUUCUUGCAGUAGUUUAUAUUCCAGCAGUCAAAAACUGAUAGACUGCUUGUCUAUUGGAGAAUCUCCAUACUACCUUCUACAGCUAGAUGCCCGGCGCAUUCUCAAGCAGAAAAGCACGUAAUACGACAAAAGUGGUGAACUCGACGUGAAAGCUUGAGGUGGAAGGUAUUGGAUUUCGGUUGAUUUUAUCUUUAUUUUAUGAAAAACGAAAAGAAAAAUUUUGAAGGAUUUUUGGGAGGAGUUUCUGGUGGGGAAUCUUCUAAAGGACAAGGUAUGCACAUGGAUCCGUCUAUUGCUAGUAUGUUUCAAGCCUUCUCAUUAUCAAUGCAGCAACAACAAAGCAAUGAUCGAAAGGAAGCUUUGGCAACCAAAGCAUUGCAAGCAGUGGUCAAUAAAAUUGAUCAAUUUGAUGGGAGGAAUAUUUCAAGGUAUUUAAGAUGUUAUGUUCGUGAAAUGGAAUUAAAUCGGAUUUACGAGAAGAAAAUGGUUGAACUAUUUGGACUUGCCAUGAUAUCGGAGAUAAGAAACCACAUUACAUCGAUUAUGGAUCGUUAUAGGAAUUCAUGGUAGGUUUUUUCACAUGCAUUGAAAGACGAAUAUUUCUUGGAAGAUGCUGAUCACGUUACUAAGAAGCUGUUUCUGGAAUGGAUUGAACGGCCCAAUAAGAAUUUGCAAGCAAUAGAGCUACUAAGGGAAUUUGAGCGGCAGUACUCUCAAUUAUCGAAGGUAGAAAAAUUGACAUUGGAGCCGAACAAAGUUGAUCUAUUUCUUCAAGCUGCCGAUGGAGAAUUGCAAGGGAAAUUAGAACUCCUUCUUGAAGACAAAGAAGAAGAUGAAGGAUUGACAAUGAAGUGGAAGAACGUUGAAGAUGCGGUGGGGUUGCUUACAAAAAGAGAAAGGAGGAAGGAUAGGAGCAAUAUUCCGAAAACAGUACAAGCACCCAAAGCUCCAGUACGUACAACACCACCAACAAUGCCUACAGUUCAAUCUUCGACAUCCUUAUCAAAGAAAGCAGAUAUGGGAAUGGAAGAAAUUAUACAAGGAAUGCGAGAUCUUCAAAUCAAAUUGGCAAGACUUGAAGAGAAUACUUCUACAAACAAUUUGAAGAAUGUUUCAAAACAAGGAUAUGUACAAAGAUGCAUUUGGUGUGAUGAUACUUCACACACUAGAAAAGAUUGCAAUGAAUUUAAUAAUAUGAUACGGCAGGGAAUUAUUUGUUGGAAAGAUGGGAAGAUAGCAUUAAAAAAUAGAGAGGAUCUUCUUCAAACCAAUUUUGGUUAGGGAGGAAUGAGAGCAUUGGUUCAAGAUUACCUAAAAGAGUAUGAAACAGCAGCACGAGAAAGUGCAAGUUAUGGUGCUAGAGUAGAUGAUGAAAUUGGUGGAAGUACGGAAACUAGUGAGUUUUGGGCUUCUGCCGUUUCUACAAUGCAUGAAGGGAAAUUACCUCGAGAAGCGUUAUUGAGGACUGCAGCUACAAUACGAGGUAGAACAAAUUGGGAGGAUCGUGCUGAGUCUCUUUCAGUUCAUGCAUAUAUUGCUAAGAGCCAACAUGAAGCUUUGAUAGAAGAAAAGAGACGAGGAAAUUUUGAUGAUACUAGAGAAGGAAAUUCUUCUAAGAGGCAAACUUGAGGAGACAAGGCUCGGGAGGCAACUUCACAAGAAUUGCAUGUAAAGGAUACCUCAGCAUCAUUGGGAGAAAAAACAAAGGAGACAAAAGAUAAAGGCAAAUCAAUUGCUUAUAAGCUACUUUCUGACAUUGAAGUGGCAACAAAUUUGAAAGGGGUGUUGGAAGAACGUAUAUUAAACGCUAAGGUAGAAUUCACAUUGAAAGAAGUUUUGGAAAUUGCAAAGAAGGGGUUUCAUGAUGUUAUCAUUGACAGCAUUAAGCGAAAGAGGCAAUUAAUGGAAAAAACUGGAAUGAGUCAUGCUAUUGAUGCAAGAAUAUAUAGAGAUGAAGAAGAGGUUGAUAUUGGUUACAAGCAACCAACAAAUGAAAAGAAUGGGUAUAAUCAACGAGUACGUUUUGAAGAUUCUAGUGAUAAAGAAAUGGAAACUUUGAGCCAUUAUACUCGAAAGUAUUGGGCAAGGGCAACUACUGAGGUAUUGGUGAAAGUAGGAGAUAUAGAAGAACCAAUAGUUACUUUAGUCGACCAUGGUUCUGAAAUAAAUCUCAUGUCUAAAGAUCUUUAUAAGAAGCAAAAAUGGCCAAUUGAUAUGGAACAUGGAUGGGCAAUUCGAGCAGCUAAUAACACACGGGACGAAUUAUAUGGAGCUUGUCCAGAUGUCAAAAUUCGGAUUGGGGAUGUUGCGACGGAGCAACAUUUCUUCGUUCAAGAUACAACGUCUUAUCCGUUGAUUUUAGGACAACCUUAUAUCACGGCAACAUGGAUGGAAACAAAAGUACUUGACGAUGGUUCUGCUUAUGCAAGGGUACGGAGCGAAGAUGGAAGGAAAGCUGUAUAAUUUCUAACAGUACCUCCCAACCAUGAACGGAAUCGAGAUAGGUUGAGGGAGAAACCAUUGCCGAAGAUUGUUGAAGGAUUUAAGGAUUUUGGGGAGGUACCACUGUAAAGCGAGAUUAUGGAGGUACAAAGGAGGAGGUACUCUCGCGUGAUGAAGGUGCCUUUGAUGGGAAUUUUAUUGAUAUAUUAGAGAAUGGAAAUAUUAUGUAUAAGAAAGUUGAUGAUUUUAAAAGAAAAGAAAGAAAAAGAUUAUAUGAUAUUGAAGGACAAUUACGCAAGUUAGGUACAUUGCAAGAUGAUGAGAGGAUUUUAGAUGUUUAUGAAGGAAAUAGACUGAAAGAUUCAUUGGAAUUGAUUACAUCUAUUGGGUUAGGGGAUAAUGAUAAGAUUGUUGAGAUUCAUUCAAGAGAGGUUUAUACCAUGCUUGAAUCUUUUCAAGCACUAGAAGUCACUGUAGAGAUGAGAUAUAAAAUGGCAAAUAAGAAAGUAAAGCCUGUUGCAGGACCAUUACCGGAAGAUUUUAAAGAACAAAUAGGAGAAGCAUCAAAAGAAGCAAGUUUAAGAGAUCCAAUGAGUAUUGGACAUCAGUUUACUAGAGAAACUUUUGAAAAAUUGAAGAUUGGUUCUGAUGGUUCUUUAUUACGGAAGGAAAUUACUUGCUUCAAAAAGAUGUUGGCUAAACAAGGUAGAUCAUUUGCCUUCAAAUCUCAUGAAAUUGGGUGUGUGGAUCGAAAUAUUGUAACACCUAUGGUUAUCUUCACUGUACCAUAUGUACCUUGGAAUCUAAGACCGAUUCCAGUACCGAGGGCACAUUUACCUAAAUUGGUUGAACUAUUAAAAGAAAAGAUAAAGAUGAAAAUAUUGGAACCUUCAUUUGUGUCGUAUUCUAGUCGAUGGUUUACGGUACCUAAGAAGAAUGGUUCACUACGGUUUAUUCAAGAUAUGCAACCGGUGAAUGCAAUAAUUGUCAGGAAUGCAGGAAUUGGGAUGAAUUUGUGGAUUGUGGAUGAAUUUACUAAGGCGUUUGCUGGAAGGGCGAUCUAUUCAAUUUUGUGACUUGUAUUCAGGUUAUGAUCAAUUUCAACUUGUCGAAGGAAGUAGAGAUAUGACGACGAUGAGGACACCACUUAGAUUGGUUAGAAUGUGCACUCUUCCUCUAGGCGCGACCAACUCAGUUGCUCAUAUGAUGAAUGGAAUGAAUAAGGUAUUGAGAGAUUUUAUUUCGGAAAAGACUAUGUCUUUUCUGGAUGAUGUUUCUAUAAAAGGGUGCAGAGAAGGAGACAAGGAUGAAACUUUAGAUACGAGGGGGUGUCGCAAAUAUGUUGUUGAUCAUAUACAAGAUUGUGAAAAGAUUUUAACUGGGCUUGGAGAAGUUCAUCUUACAUUAUCGGGUAUGAAGUCCGUAUUUGGAGUACGAGAGGUUGUAAUUCUUGGACAUUUAUGUGGAUCUUACGGAAGAAAAACAGAUCCGACUAAAGUUGAUGCAAUUGGAAGGAUGAAAGAGGAUUGUGAUUCUUUAACAGAGAUUCGCAGGUUUUUGGGUGCAUGUGUAUUUUAUCGAAUCUGGAUCCUUCAUUUUGCUCACAUAGCGGAUCCAUUAUGUAAACUGUUAUGCAAGGGUUACCGAUUUAAAUGGAAAGAAAGGCAUAUUCAGGCAAUGCAAAGAUUGAAGAAAUUAUUGAUGUCACCUUCAAUAUUGAGGAAGGUUGAUUAUAAGUGCAAUAGACUAGUGAUUCUUACUGUGGACGCUAGUCCAAUUGCCAUUGGAUGGGCUGUGGAUCAAGAUGAUUCAAAUGGAAAUAGAUUUGCAGUUCCAUUUGAGGCUAAAGUUUUAAGUAUUCAUCAUCGUGCAUAUUCGCAAGUCAAAAGAGAACUUUGGGGAGUCGUUUCGGCUAUGAAAGCUGAAAAGGAUUAUUUGAUUGAGAUAGUAGUAGUAAUUGAAACAGAUUGCUUGCCAUUGCUUGGAAUGAUUAUUAACUGUUGAACGCCAGAUAUUGCAAUGUUGAGAUGGAUUGCUUAUAUUAAGUCACUAAAUCGAGAAUUUAAGCAUAUUACUGGGAAGGACAAUUUAGUAGCAGAUAUGCUAUCUCGAGCAAGAUACAAGAGAGAGGACGAAAUGGUUGAAGACAUUGAUGACGUCGGAUUGAAAUUCUAUUCAAUAUCAAAUCUCAACAGAGAAGACAAGCUAUUUCUUGAAGAAUCUUAUGAAGGAGAAUUAUUGGAUAUUGGUCAUUACUUGAAUACCUUGACUAAGUAGGGGAAUCUGUCUACAGAAUAAUUCAAACAAAUAAGAAAAAAAGCAUAUGGAUUUUUACUUCGAGAUGGAUUCUUAUGGAAGAGACCGAAGAAAGCAAUUGGGAUGCCACAACGAGUGAUAGGCAAAAAAGAAGAAAAACUAAAAUUAUUAAAGGAGUUUCAUGAUAGUUUAUGGGCAGGGCAUAGAGGAAUCUGGGCUACUUUUGCUAAACUCAAGGAACGAUAUUGGUAGAAAAAUAUGUAUCGAGAUGUGCUCUCAUUUGUAGAGUCAUGUGAAAUCUGUCAAUCGUAUUCUAAUAUCCGACAUCGAGAUGGUCUUCAUCCUAUGUAUCCUCUGGCUAUUCAAUUUAAAUGGAUUGUUGAUUUGGUUAUUAUGCUGGUUGGAUUAUGGCAGAUGAGAUAUUUGGUUUUAGCUCGCGAAGAUUUAUCAAAUCAAGUAGAAGGAAGAGCAUUGAGGAUAAAAUCUACAGAGGAGAUUUGUAGGUUUUUGCUUGAAGAUGUCAUUUGCCGCUAUGGAUGCGUAGGAAAAAUCACUGCAGAUCGUGGAGAAUUAAAUGCACAAGAAGCUCGUAAGUUCUUUGAAAGAUGUCGAGUUAAACUAUCACUGACUAGUGUUUAUAAUGCAGAAGGGAAUACAAAAAGCGAACGCAGUCACCCACCAAUUGUGAAAGCAUUAGUUAAAGCUUGUAAUGGGAAAGUUUAAGAGUAGCGACGGCUUUUGUCAUGUACAUUAUGGGCUAAUCGAACAACACAUAGUUCGAUGACAGGAUAUAUGCCAGUAGAACUUAUGACAGGUCAAAAAUUAAUUAUGUCGAUUGAAAAAAAGGUACUUACUUGGAGUAUGCUACCAUGGGAAGAUGGAUUGACAAGAGAAGAACUUCUGGCUAUUAGGAUUCGACAAUUGGAGCAAAGAACGGAAGAUGUCCAGAUAGCAUUGGGAAGGUUAAAAAGAGCAAGGUUAUAAAACAAGGCACGAUUCGACAAGCAACAUCGAUUGAGAGCUAAAGCAAUCGAGGAAGGUGAUUGGGUACUUGUUUAUGACAAUAGUCUGGAUAAUCAACAUAGUAUUUUGCGGAAAUUUUCAAAAUGUUGGUUUGGACCAUAUGUAGUAACAACUGUUCAUGAUAAUGCGACUUACUCAUUACGAGAGUUAGAUGGUACAAAAUUGAAAAUACCAAUUGCAAGGAAGCGAGUAAAAAUAUUUAAACGAAGACACGCGGAGAUGAAUAUGGAAGACCUUAAUGAAGGUAUAGAGAUUUUGCAGCAAGAAGAUGAAAGUGAUUUGGAUAAUGAAGGUGAUGAUGACGAACAAGACAAAGACGUAGAGGAUAUAUUCUAAAUCAAACAGCAAUUGGGUAAAUUGGUGCAUACCGGAAGAUGCACAGUUUUAGAGGAGGUGGAUGUCGUGUUGUAACACGAGUAUACCAUGAAGAUAUAAAGGAAGGGGACUUUUAUUUAAGUUCAGUUACCUCGAAUAUUAGGAGCAACGACCAACUCCAGUGCAAAUACUGAGUGGCUAGGUUUAGUCACCCCGUUACAGUCAGCCUGGGCAUACUGAAAUGCUCCGUUCGAUUCCAAUAACGGGUGUCAACAGGAAGGGAAAGGACCAAUUCACGUGAUGGGUGAGCCUGGUUCGAAGAGCCAAUUGGAUCUAAUUUCGAGAAUCCAAUCCGGGUCCUCUUAUCCUAUAUGAGACCUGUAUUGGUCGGGCAACCCAAUGCAGUCUGAUUACGGGAAAUCCAGGUCUUACUACGGGCAUCUUACCCAAUAUGAGACCUGCAUUGAUCGGGCAACCCAAUGCAGUCUAAUUACGGGAAAAUCCAGGUCUUACUACGGGCCUCAGUCAGUCUAACGCGAAGGACCAAUUUUAUCCAAUUAUGGGAACAUCCAGGUUACUACGGGCAUUUUACCCAAUAUGAGACCUGCAUUGGUCGGGCAACCCAAUGCAGUCUAAUUACGGGAAAAUCCAGGUCUUACUAUGGGCCUCAGUCAGUCUGACGCGAAGGACCAAUUUUAUCCAAUUACGGGAACAUCCAGGUUACUAUGGGCAUCUUACCCAAUAUGAGACCUGAAUUGGUCGAGCGACUCAAUGUGGACCCGAGUACGGGGUUUCGAUUCUAUUUCAGGCUGUCCUAUUUUCUGUGCGAUUUCAAGGAAGGUUAUUUUCGGUAAAUGGAUCUCUUAAAGAUAAAAACGGAGGAAAAAGCUCUGACGGCGGGAGCCAAUUUUGGAUCUAAGCUCUAACGAUGGGAGCCAAUUCCGGAUCCAAGAUGGAAGAUUGAAGAAAUUCAGAGGAUAAGGUUAGGGGGAGAAUAAGUUUUGGGGGGGGGGAGGUUUUUUGGAUCGAGGAGUUAGCUUCAAGCUUUUUUUUUCAAGGUUACUAGUUCGGUGUCAUUGGAGGUUUUUGAAGAUCAAGGGGAUUAGAGAGGAGCUUCAUGCUUCGGGUCGGAGAAGAAAAGACGGAGAAUUGGAUUUUUCUUCUUCAUAGAGUUUUGGGAAGACUGAGGCAAUCGUUGCUGAAGUCAGUGUUGUAAUCGUGAAUCAGAAUUUUUUAAAUGAAGUGGGUUUGAUUACUCUUGAUUGUUUUGUAAAAUCGAGUUACAUCUCUGAUUGAAGAAUUAAAAGGGUGUCUAUAGGAUUGAGUAUGCGGAGUGAAUGAAAUUUAUUGGGUUAAUCUAACAAGACAGUCAGUGGAUAC